rnacentral:rRNA from 1 species
GAUGAACGCUAGCGGCAGGCCUAAUACAUGCAAGUCGAACGGUGUAGCAAUACACAGUGGCGCACGGGUGCGUAACACGUAUGCAACCUACCUUACAUUGGGGGAUAGCCUUUCGAAGGGGAGAUUAAUACCGCAUAAGACAGUAACUAGGCAUCGAGUAGCUGUUCAAGAUUUAUCGAUGUAAGCUGGGCAUGCGUCCAAUUAGUUAGUUGGUGAGGUAACGGCUCACCAAGACGAUGAUUGGUAGGGGAACUGAGAGGUCAAUCCCCCACACUGGCACUGAGAUACGGGCCAGACUCCUACGGGAGGCAGCAGUAGGGAAUAUUGGGCAAUGGGCGCAAGCCUGACCCAGCCAUGCCGCGUGCAGGAAGAAGGCGUUAUGCGUUGUAAACUGCUUUUAUACAGGAAGAAACGACCCUUGCGAGGGGCAUUGACGGUACUGUAUGAAUAAGCACCGGCUAACUCCGUGCCAGCCGCCGCAGUAUAC